ACAAAACCUCUCACAGAUAAUUCAUCCUGAACUCCAGGUCCACCAUUUCUCCUCUGGAAACAUGGAAACACUGGCUGUGAUUUGCUUCUUUUCAGCUCUCGUAGGUAACAGCCUGGAAGAUGAUAUAACUCCCAGCAGAGCUGAAGUGUUUUCAUCAGAGGGUCACAGAGAAACUCUGUCCUGUAACUACUCAGUUGCAGCUGAGAACCUGCAGUGGUAUCGACAGGAUCCUGGAUCAGGUCCUCAGUUCCUUCUCCUCCAAACACCAGGACCACAGAUGCUGUCUUUGCAGACAUUUGGAUUCACUCUGCUGUUUCUAGUCAUUCUAACAGGUGUCAGCUGUGAAGAACUCACUGCAGUCAAGAAUGAAGAGUCCAGUUUAGAAGGAAGCUCUGUUACUCUGUCCUACACUAAAACUAAAACUAUAGCUCCUGGUGAUGAUUUCUUCUGGUAUCGACAAUAUCCAGGAAAACCACCAGAAUUCCUCCUGCAUAUCUCUGGAUUCAACAAGUCAAGUGCAGCAGAGUCUCUGAAAUCAGCCGCAAGGUUCUCCACUAAACUGAGAGGAAAACAAGAUGUAGAUCUGGAGAUCUCCUCUGCUGCAGUGUCUGACUCUGCUGUGUACUACUGUGCUGUGAGGCCCACAGUGACAGGAAACAGCAAAACUCUGUACAAAAACCUUUGGAGCAAAGACAACGCAAUACUCCACAACGUCCACUAGAGGGCCUCACACACUGUUAAAGCUCUGAAAUGUUUACACAGAAGAGAAUAAAGAACACAUUAGUGUCUUUGCUUCAUUGUUUAAGUCAUUGUGAUUAAAU